CGACCGCCGGGGCGCUGGCCGCGCUCGGCGUGCUGCGGGCGCGGCCCGAGCUGGUCGACGUCGUACGACGCCGCGUGGUCGACC
rnacentral:tRNA from 1 species